CGGCGCCGACGGCCGGGCCACAGCAGCCGCCCGGCUCCUCGCCGCCCGUCUUUCUCAGUCUCCCCGGAAACAAGUUCCGGUCCCGCACGCUACCAGUGACCUUCCCCUUCCCUCGGCCUCAGCCACCCCCUCCAAGAGGAGACGGUCACGGAGCAUCUGUUCAUUCUACUUCAGGUGCUGCCUAAAAGCGGUGAGAAAGCCUGAAGCUCUGCAGCCUUCCUGCACCCUGCCAGAGCCCAGCCCAGCCUGGCUCCUGAUCAGUCACGCCUGGAUGGGUUUAAAGGGCUGCAACCCGUUCCAAUGCAGAAGGAAACAGAAACUUAGUAUCAAUCAAUUCCAAGUCUAAAGAUAAGCUACAUGCUGAAGACGCCCCAAUAUUUCCAGCAUCUUCCUGGAAAUCCACAUCUAUCUGUCUGCUUGACAGGCUCACUUGGAUGUUCAAUAGGCAUCUCCAAGUUCAUAAUCAUUCAAAACUGAACACAGACAUUUUCUUCUCAACCUUGUUCCUCCUACAGUUUCCAUCUCACUGACGGCAGCCCCAUUCUUCAUGUUUUCAGAUCAAAGACAUUGGAGUCAUUAAAAAUUUUUAUUUUUGUUUAUUGAGAUGAAUUUCACAUAACACAAAAUUAAGCAUUUAAAGCAAACAAUGCAGUGGCUUUUAGUACAUGCACAAUGUCAAGGAACCACCACCUCUAUCUAACUCUAAAAUAUUUUUAUCACCUUGUAAGAAAACCCAACCCCCUUAAGCGGUCACUUCCUUUUCUCCACCUUCCCCUAACCCCUGGCAACUACUAACCUACUUUCUGUUUCUAUGGAUCUAUU